UUUAAGUAUAUCAUUUACAAUGAUAAGAUGUUAAUAAACUUUAUUUAAAUUGAAAUUAUUAAUAUUUUUAUUUUUUUUUUA
rnacentral:tRNA from 1 species